UACGGAGGGGCCAGCGUUGUUCGGAAUCAUUGGGCGUAAAGGGCGCGUAGGCGGCCGACCAAGUCGGAGGUGAAAUCCCUCGGCUCAACUGAGGAACUGCCUCCGAUACUGUUCGGCUUGAGUCCCGGAGAGGGUAGUGGAAUUCCUGGUGUAGCGGUGAAAUGCGCAGAUAUCAGGAGGAACACCGGUGGCGAAGGCGGGUCUCUGGGCCGAUACUGACGCUGAGGAGCGAAAGCGUGGGGAGCGAACAGG
rnacentral:rRNA from 1 species